rnacentral:rRNA from 1 species
UGGGGAAUAUUGGACAAUGGGGGCAACCCUGAUGCAGCGACGCCGCGUGAGCGAUGAAGCCCUUCGGGGCGUAAAGCUCUUUCGACCGGAACGAUAAUGACGGUACCGGGAGAAGAAGCUGCGGCUAACUACGUGCCAGCAGCCGCGGUAAUACGUAGGCAGCAAGCGUUGUUCGGAGUUACUGGGCGUAAAGAGUGCGUAGGCGGUUUUCUAAGUUCGGUGUGAAAUCUCCCGGCUUAACUGGGAGGGUGCGCCGAAGACUGGGAAGCUGGAGUGUGGGAAAGGCAGGCGGAAUUCCUGGUGUAGCGGUGAAAUGCGUAGAUAUCAGGAGGAACACCGGCGGUGUAGACGGCUUGCUAAACCAUAACUGACGCUGAGGCACGAAAGCGUGGGUAGCAAACA